UACGGGGGGGGUAAGCGUUGUUCGGAAUUACUGGGCGUAAAGGGCUCGUAGGCGGCCAACUAAGUCAGACGUGAAAUCCCUCAGCUUAACUGGGGAACUGCGUCUGAUACUGGAAGGCUUGAAUCCGGGAGAGGGAUGCGGAAUUCCAGGUGUAGCGGUGAAAUGCGUAGAUAUCUGGAGGAACACCGGUGGCGAAGGCGGCAUCCUGGACCGGUAUUGACGCUGAGGCGCGAAAGCCAGGGGAGCAAACGGG
rnacentral:rRNA from 1 species